AUGGAUAUGGAACACAAAACACCAAAAAAAUUAGUGGUACUUGCUACUCAUGGAGAUGGGGAACCUCCUAAAACCCUCGAUGCUCGUUAUGUGAAAUAUGUUAUGCACUACUUUGAUAAUCCUGAGAAAACCCCAUUCAACUUGAUAAUGGGAGUAACGUUGGAUCAACAUGAAUACUUUAGGGAUUAUUGCUUGACACAAAAAGGGAAAUUGUUAUGGGAUCAAAUUCAUAUGUUGCAUUGGUAUGCUCGGGAGCUAUGCUUGAGAUAUGAUUAUACUUGUUGCUCUAGGAUGAAUGCUCCACACCUUCCCUUUUCAUGCAAAUUUAAUGAUAAUGAAACCUUAGCUUCUUAUGCUAAUGGUAUAUAUGAUUAA
rnacentral:rRNA from 1 species